rnacentral:rRNA from 1 species
GACGAACGCUGGCGGCGUGCUUAACACAUGCAAGUCGAACGGUGAAGCGCCUUCCUUUUUGGUGGGUGUGGAUGAGUGGCGAACGGGUGAGUAACACGUGAGUAACCUGCCCCCUUCUUCUGGAUAACCGCAUGAAAGUGUGGCUAAUACGGGAUAUUCUGGGUCUGUCGCAUGACGGGUCCGGGAAAGAUAUUGCUUCGGUGGGGGAUGGGCUCGCGGCCUAUCAGCUUGUUGGUGGGGUGAUGGCCUACCAAGGCGGUGACGGGUAGCCGGCCUGAGAGGGUGGACGGUCACACUGGGACUGAGACACGGCCCAGACUCCUACGGGAGGCAGCAGUGGGGAAUAUUGCACAAUGGGCGCAAGCCUGAUGCAGCGGCGCCGCGUGAGGGAUGGAGGCCUUCGGGUUGUGAACCUCUUUCGCCAGUGAAGCAGGCCUGCCCCUGGUGGGUGGGUUGACGGUAGCUGGAUAAGAAGCGCCGGCUAACUACGUGUCAGCAGCCGCGGUAAUACGUAGGGCGCGAGCGUUGUCCGGAAUUAUUGGGCGUAAAGAGCUCGUAGGCGGCUGGUCGCGUCUGUCGUGAAAUCCUCUGGCUUAACUGGGGGCUUGCGGUGGGUACGGGCCGGCUUGAGUGCGGUAGGGGAGACUGGAACUCCUGGUGUAGCGGUGGAAUGCGCAGAUAUCAGGAAGAACACCGGUGGCGAAGGCGGGUCUCUGGGCCGUUACUGACGCUGAGGAGCGAAAGCGUGGGGAGCGAACAGGAUUAGAUACCCUGGUAGUCCACGCCGUAAACGUUGGGCACUAGGUGUGGGGGGCCUUUUCCGGGUUUUCCGCGCCGUAGCUAACGCAUUAAGUGCCCCGCCUGGGGAGUACGGCCGCAAGGCUAAAACUCAAAGGAAUUGACGGGGGCCCGCACAAGCGGCGGAGCAUGCGGAUUAAUUCGAUGCAACGCGAAGAACCUUACCAAGGCUUGACAUGUGCCGGUCGGCCCCGGAGACGGGGUUUCCUCCUUGUGGGGCCGGUUCACAGGUGGUGCAUGGUUGUCGUCAGCUCGUGUCGUGAGAUGUUGGGUUAAGUCCCGCAACGAGCGCAACCCUUGUCCCGUGUUGCCAGCACGUUGUGGUGGGGACUCGCGGGAGACUGCCGGGGUCAGCUCGGAGGAAGGUGGGGAUGACGUCAAAUCAUCAUGCCCCUUAUGUCUUGGGCUUCACGCAUGCUACAAUGGCCGGUACAGAGGGCUGCGAUACCGUGAGGUGGAGCGAAUCCCUUAAAGCCGGUCUCAGUUCGGAUCGGUGUCUGCAACUCGACACCGUGAAGUUGGAGUCGCUAGUAAUCGCAGAUCAGCAACGCUGCGGUGAAUACGUUCUCGGGCCU